ACACUGAAAAAAAUGGACUUGGUGGGUCUUUGAAUUUAAAUAAAAUAAACAUGUAUAUGCAACACAAAAUAUUUAUAUUCCUUGUGUAAACAUAAUUUAAUUGAUUAGGAUGAAAAUGUUUUGUUUGAAUGUAAAAUGAACACAUUAUUCUCACAUUGAUUAAAAUUGAUUGAAUUGAAUACUUAAAGCAAUAAAAUUGAGUUUGCACACAAAAUGGCACCUCCUGAGCAGAAGGUGGCAGUAACGCUCAAUAAAAAGGACGUCAAUCGCCAUAAAAGAAGAAUAAACAUCGUUUGUUUUGGGCGCCAAAAUGAAGACUCAGCAGCAGUCAGUCAGAAGAACUCUCUCAGACGGACACCACGUUAUUAAAGUCCAUCAUCCUUGCAUGUGCUAAAAAGCAUUGAUAAAUGCUGAAUUUAAAAGAAUCACUACUGUCUUAUGUUCCUGCGUGUCACCUGGACCUCCAAUCCAAAAACCUGACGAAACUCUUCUAUCAGAAAGGAGGACAGCUAGCAAACAGACUUCAAACAAUGAAUGAUCAAAUGACAGAAGGCAUGGAUGAAGUCAGCAUCAGUGUGGUCAUUUGAAGACACCACUGUUGGGAUUUGUGCUCUCAAACAACAUGCUUCUUGUGAUGAAGAAGAGGAUCUUUGUAUAGUCCUGGAAGGCAUGAAGGUGUUGCAACAUCGUGCCAUGUUGUUUGAGCUGAUGUAUGCCUUAAACCUGAGCUAUCCUGAUCUCUGCUUUAUUUUUGAAGAAAUCCUAAAGAUUUUAAUGGAACUGCAUUGAGCGUAACUUUAACGAACAGUUUCUUUCAGUGAAAGGAUCAGAAAGACUGUGCUGCUCAUUUAUGUUCUUUUUAUUUAUCUGUUUUAAGUGUUUUUUCUUAUUAAAACAUUAACUGUUUGCUGCUCAGAGUCGAUUUUGGAAAUGGUUGUUGUAUUUUGUUUUUGUUGAAUCUUUGAUUAACAGUUUAUACAAAUGCUGUAGCUCUGACUUUCUGAAGGAUUGAUAUUUUUCAGUUGUAAAUCCAUUUUAAAAAAUAAUAGUACUUACUGUUUUGCAUGUCUCUUUGGAAUGCAGUUUUUGUGCUUUAGCACUUCUAAAUCUACUGUGAUAGUAACUAUUUUAAACAUUUGGGUCAGUUUUACAGAUGGGGCUUUUUCUAGUCCCAGACUUUUGCAAUGCCUUAAUUUGAAAACAUAUUGCACUGACAUAUCUUGACAUAUAUCAGUGCCAUUGUUUUGUCUCAAGAUGUACUCCAGUGUUGUUUUUGUAAGGUAGGUUUGUUUGUAAACUUUUUUUGUAAAAAAUAUCUUAAUAUAACUAGGGCCUAGUCAUGGAUUAUCUACAACCUGUUUGGGAAAUUGCCCCUUUGUAUGUACUGCAUGUGCUGAUUGUUGUAAUAGUUAUUGACUGUUGUUGAAUUAAUGUGUAGUGAUUUAAAUGAAUUGAUGAUCUGAAAGCAGUGGUUUGCCUCAAUAUCACUAAACAUUUGUUUAAAACUCUUUGCU